GCAUAUCAAUAAGCGGAGGAAAAGAAACUAACAAGGAUUCCCCUAGUAACUGCGAGUGAAGCGGGAAGAGCUCAAAUUUAAAAUCUGGCGGUUUUGGCCGUCCGAGUUGUAGUCUGGAGAAGUGCUUUCCGCGCUGGACCGUGUACAAGUCUCUUGGAACAGAGCGUCAUAGAGGGUGAGAAUCCCGUCUUUGACACGGACUACCAGUGCUUUGUGUAGCGCUCUCAAAGAGUCGAGUUGUUUGGGAAUGCAGCUCAAAAUGGGUGGUGAAUUCCAUCUAAAGCUAAAUAUUGGCGAGAGACCGAUAGCGAACAAGUACCGUGAGGGAAAGAUGAAAAGCACUUUGGAAAGAGAGUUAAACAGUACGUGAAAUUGCUGAAAGGGAAACGCUUGAAGUCAGUCGCGUUGAAUGGAACUCAGCCUUGCUUGCUUGGUUCACUUUCCGUUCAACGGGCCAGCAUCAAUUUCGAUCGUUGGAAAAGGGCUGGGGGAAUGUGGCACCCUCGGGUGUGUUAUAGCCUCCUGUCGCAUACAAUGGUUGGGAUUGAGGUCUGCAGCGCGCCGUAAGGCAGGGGUUCGCCCACUUUCGCGCUUAGGAUGCUGGCAUAAUGGCUUUAAACGACCCGUCUUGAAACACGGACCAAGGAGUCUAACUUACCUGCGAGUGUUUGGGUGGAAAACCCGAGCGCGUAAUGAAAGUGAUAGUUGGGAUCUCUGUCGUGGAGAGCACCGACGCCCGGACCUGACGUACUCUGAAGGAUCCGCGGUAGAGCAUGUAGGUUGGGACCCGAAAGAUGGUGAACUAUGCCUGAAUAGGGUGAAGCCAGAGGAAACUCUGGUGGAGGCUCGUAGCGAUUCUGACGUGCAAAUCGAUCGUCAAAUUUGGGUAUAGGGGCGAAAGACUAAUCGAACCAUCUAGUAGCUGGUUCCUGCCGA
rnacentral:rRNA from 1 species